UCUUAGGUGACUGAGUAGAAGUGCUAGACUUUUAAUCUAGAGACGGCAUAUAUAAAAAAUGCUCCUAGGAA
rnacentral:tRNA from 1 species